UUAAGUUCAGCGGGUAGUCUUACUUGAUUUGAGAUCGAGUUCACAAGUUCUGUUACGAACGAGUUUUCCUGCAAUCAGCGAUUGUGGUUCAUUCAACCUUUAUGUUAGCUGAAGCAAAAGUAAUAAUCCGUUUGACGGGACUAAAUAGAUAUGCUUUUAGCUCAGAAGAAUGUCCUGCUGCACCUGCAUUUCAAGCGACC
rnacentral:misc_RNA from 1 species